UUUCAGUGAGUUACAAUAAACUGUUUUUGCAUGCUUGAAAAAUUGUGAAGAAAAUGUAAGGAAUACUUAUGGGAGGAUCUCAAUAAUUGGGUGUUUCCAUUUUACUUUAAAAACAACUGCUAAUGUUCAACUCCGACAACACAGUGUGUGUGUAUAUACAUAUAUAUAAAGUUCAUUUCCAUGCUCAUUACAUAAAAAUAACUAUGAGAAAUAUCAAUCUA
rnacentral:lncRNA from 1 species